rnacentral:rRNA from 1 species
AUACGUAGGGGGCAAGCGUUAUCCGGAUUUACUGGGUGUAAAGGGCGUGUAGGCGGGAUUUCAAGUCAGAUGUGAAAACCGAAGGCUCAACCUUCGGCCUGCAUUUGAAACUGAAGUUCUUGAGUGCUGGAGAGGCUAACGGAAUUCCUAGUGUAGCGGUGAAAUGCGUAGAUAUUAGGAAGAACACCAGUGGCGAAGGCGGUUAGCUGGACAGUAACUGACGCUGAGGCGCGAAAGCGUGGGGAGC